rnacentral:misc_RNA from 1 species
UAACUGCGUGCAGACGUGUGAACUGCAGGACACAUGAACACCGACAUUUCGAACGCAUAUGGCGGCUUGAAAUAAAUUUCAAGCCACGUCUGGCUGAGGGUCGGAUAUAAAAUAAAAACAAAAGAUGCUCAAAGGAUCAUUUGAAAUGAAUUGCAAAUACCUUUGUAUUUUCCAGCUACAUCGCCGAGUUUUUAAGUUUGUAAAAAUUUUAAAGCUUGGUUAGAGUAAUGGUGUAUGUUUGUUGAAGCUUGUAUACAAUGUCAAGUCUCAAGCAGCAGACAGAAUUUUCUAGUCCUGUGGAAAGACAAUGUACACUAAGAAACAAAAUAAAAAUUGUAUCAUACUUGCGACCUCAGAGCAGACGAGAUUACCCGCUGAAUUUAA